AUAUCAAUAAGCGGAGGAAAAGAAACCAACAGGGAUUGCCCUAGUAACGGCGAGUGAAGCGGCAACAGCUCAAAUUUGAAAUCUGGCCUCUUCAGGGUCCGAGUUGUAAUUUGCAGAGGACGCUUCGGCGUUGGCCCCGGGCUAAGUCCCCUGGAACGAGGCGCCCCAGAGGGUGAGAGCCCCGUACUCAUCCGGGUGUCCUUCGCGCCAUGUGAAGCUCCUUCGACGAGUCGAGUUGUUUGGGAAUGCAGCUCUAAGUGGGAGGUAUAUUUCUUCUAAGGCUAAAUACCGGCCAGAGACCGAUAGCGCACAAGUAGAGUGAUCGAAAGAUGAAAAGCACUUUGGAAAGAGAGUUAAAAAGCACGUGAAAUUGUUGAAAGGGAAGCUCUUGCCGCCAGACUUGCCGCGGUUGCUCAGCCGCCCCCCGGGACGGUGCACUCUUCCGUCGGCAGGCCAGCGUCGGUUCGGGCGACCGGAUAAAGGCCCUAGGAAUGUAGCACCCUCCGGGGUGUGUUAUAGCCUAGGGUGCAAUGCGGUCAGCCCGGUCCGAGGCACGCGUUCGCGAGGACGCUGGCGUAAUGGUUGCAAGCGACCCGUCUUGAAACACGGACCAAGGAGUCUAGCAUCUGUGCGAGUGUUUGGGCGUCAAACCCAUGCGCGUAAUGAAAGUGAACGGAGGUGGGAACCCCCCUCGAGGGGCGCACCAUCGACCGAUCCUGAUGUCUUCGGAUGGAUUUGAGUAAGAGCAUAGCUGUUGGGACCCGAAAGAUGGUGAACUAUUCCCGGAUAGGGUGAAGCCAGAGGAAACUCUGGUGGAGGCUCGCAGCGGUUCUGACGUGCAAAUCGAUCGUCAAAUCUAGGAAUAGGGGCGAAAGACUAAUCGAACCAU
rnacentral:rRNA from 1 species